GAUGAAGAACGUAGCGAAAUGCGAUAAGUAAUGUGAAUUGCAGAAUUCAGUGAAUCAUCGAAUCUUUGAACGCACAUUGCGCCCGCUAGUAUUCUGGCGGGCAUGCCUGUUCGAGCGUCAUUUCAACCAUCAAGCCCUAGGCUUGCGUUGGAGCCCUGCGGCUGCCGCAGGCUCCCAAAUCCAGUGGCGGGCUCGUCGUCGUACCGAGUGCAGUAAACAUCCUCGCUCAGGGAACGUGACGGGUUCUUGCCGUGAAACCCCCCACAUAUCAAGGUUGACCUCGGAUCAGGUAGGAAUACCCGCUGAACUUAAGCAUAUCAAUAAGCGGGGGA
rnacentral:misc_RNA from 1 species